rnacentral:rRNA from 1 species
UCUCCAGACUCCUACGGGAGGCAGCAGUGGGGGAUAUUGCACAAUGGGGGGAACCCUGAUGCAGCGACGCCGCGUGGGUGAAGGAGCGUUUCGGCGCGUAAAGCCCUAUCGGCAGGGGAGAAAAUGACGGUACCUGACUAAGAAGCCCCGGCUAACUACGGGCCAGCAGCCGCGGUAAUAAGUAGGGGGCAAGCGUUAUCCGGAUUUACUGGGUGUAAAGGGAGCGUAGACGGUGCAGCAAGUCUGAUGUGAAAGGUCGGGGCCCAACCCCGGGACUGCAUUGGAAACUGUUGAACUGGAGUACAGGAGAGGUAAGCGGAAUUCCUAGUGUAGCGGUGAAAUGCGUAGAUAUUAGGAGGAACACCAGUGGCGAAGGCGGCUUACUGGACUGUAACUGACGUUGAGGCUCGAAAGCGUGGGGAGCAAACAGGAUUAGAUACCCCUGUA